rnacentral:rRNA from 1 species
AUUGAACGCUGGCGGCAGGCCUAACACAUGCAAGUCGAGCGGAGCGGCGGACGGGUGAGUAAUGCCUAGGAAUCUGCCUGGUAGUGGGGGAUAACGUCCGGAAACGGGCGCUAAUACCGCAUACUCUCAGAUGAGCCUAGGUCGGAUUAGCUAGUUGGUGGGGUAAAGGCCUACCAAGGCGACGAUCCGUAACUGGUCUGAGAGGAUGAUCAGUCACACUGGAACGGAGACAGGGCCCAGCUUCCUACUGGAGGCAGCAGUGGGGAAUAUUGGACAAGGGGCGAAAGCCUGUUCCAGCAAGGCCGCGUGUGUGAAGAAGGUCUUCGGAUUGUAAAGCACUUUAAGUUGGGAGGCGUUACCAACAGAAUAAGCACCGGCUAACUUCGUGCCAGCAGCCGCGUAAUUC